UACGUAGGUGGCAAGCGUUGUCCGGAAUUACUGGGCGUAAAGCGCGUGUAGGCGGCUAUGCAAGUCGGAUGUGAAAGCCCUCGGCUCAACCGGGGAAGUGCACCCGAAACUGCAAAGCUAGAGUCUCGGAGAGGAUCGUGGAAUUCUCGGUGUAGAGGUGAAAUUCGUAGAUAUCGAGAGGAACACCGGUGGCGAAGGCGGCGAUCUGGACGGGUGACU
rnacentral:rRNA from 1 species